CAAUACAACUGGUGGCGACCGGCGCGACGGGUGAGUAACGCGUAUGCAACCUACCUAUCAGAGGGGAAGUAACCCGGCGAAAGUCGGACUAAUACCGCAUAAAACAGGGGCACCGCAUGGUGAUAUUUGUUAAAGAAAUUCGCUGAUAGAUGGGCAUGCGUUCCAUUAGGUAGUUGGUGAGGUAACGGCUCACCAAGCCGACGAUGGAUAGGGGAACUGAGAGGUUGGUCCCCCACACUGGUACUGAGACACGGACCAGACUCCUACGGGAGGCAGCAGUGAGGAAUAUUGGUCAAUGGGCGGGAGCCUGAACCAGCCAAGUCGCGUGAAAGGAAGAAGGAUCUAUGGUUCGUAAACUUCUUUUGCAGGGGAAUAAAGUGCAGGACGUGUCCUGUUUUGUAUGUACCCUGAGAAUAAGGAUCGGCUAACUCCGUGCCAGCCGCAGC
rnacentral:rRNA from 1 species